rnacentral:rRNA from 1 species
AUUGAACGCUGGCGGCAGGCCUAACACAUGCAAGUCGAACGAGUGGCGGACGGGUGAGUAAUGUCUGGUAAACUGCCUGAUGGCGGGGGAUAACUACUGGAAACGGUAGCUAAUACCGCAUACCAUCAGAUGUGCCCAGAUGGGAUUCGCUUGUUGGUGGGGUAACGGCUCACCAAGGCGACGAUCCCUAGCUGGUCUGAGAGGAUGACCAGCCACACUGGAACUGAAGCACGGUCCAGACUCCUACGGUAGGCAGCUGUGGGGAAUAUUGCACAAUGGGGGCAAGCCUGAUACAGCCAUGCCGCGUGUAUGAAGAAGGCCUUCGGGUUGUAAAGUACUUUCAGCGGGUAGGCGUUAACAGCAGAAGAAGCACCGGGUAACUCCGCGCCAGCAGCCGCGGUAAUAC